rnacentral:ncRNA from 1 species
GCGUGGGUCGGCCCGCCGAACUGGACUCGGCGGGCUGGGGGAGACCGCCGCUCCAAUCCCCGCGGGCGGCGAACCGGUCCGGGAGGUGAUGACACCUCCCGGACUGUG